GGAAGUCCCUGCAUGGGCACUGCCAGCUUCUGCCUCUAUGCUUUUUCCUGAACCUUCUCCACCUCUGGAAUGUACUUCAGAGUCUUAAGAGCCCAAGGCCAUGUGAGCCAAUACCAGUACGCAUUCUCAGCUCAUGGAGGAGACAGACACUGAAGCUGCACGGAAGCAUGGCGGGGGAGGCCUCAGGAAACUGACAAUCAUCAGUGGAAGAUGAAGAAGGAGGAGGUGCAUCUUACAUGGCCAGAGAAGGAGGAAGAGAAAGAGGGGGGAAGUGCUACACCCUUCUAAACAACUAGAUCAUGCGAGAACUCACUGUCAUGAGAAUAGCAAGGGGAAAAUUUGUCCCCAGGAUCCAGUCACCUCCCAUCAGGCCCUCCUCCAACACUGGGAAUUGCAAUUUGCCAUGCGAUUUGGAUGGGGACACAGAGCUAAACCAUAUCAGUUGGACUCCCCAGAAGCAGACCCUGAGUGAUUCACUUAAGGAAUAUUGCCAGGAAAAACUGGUGAGAAGUGGGCCCCAGAAGAAAAGGAGGACGCCGGGACAAGGUGCAACACUGAGCAAAGCCUCAGGAAAGGAAAUGCUGAGAUGUGACUUACCGUCUUUCCAAAUCUUCCUGUGUACUGUCCCUGCUAUCCUGGCCAGGGACCACGGAAGCUGGAGUAUUUACACCUCCCUCUCACCUGUCAUUCACCAGUUAAAGACUGUCAUUUCUAGAAGGAAGUCAAUCUUCAUUAUUGUACUAUCAAAAUAG
ensembl:lncRNA